rfam:Glycine max cultivar Williams 82 chromosome 2, whole genome shotgun sequence.
UGGAGAAGGGGAGCACGUGCAAAGGGUUCAAUGGCGCUUAAAGAGAGCCGAGAGAGUUGCACGUGCCCUGCUUCUCCAAC